GAACGCUAGCUACAGGCUUAACACAUGCAAGUCGAGGGGCAGCAUGGUCUUAGCUUGCUAAGGCCGAUGGCGACCGGCGCACGGGUGAGUAACACGUAUCCAACCUGCCGUCUACUCUUGGACAGCCUUCUGAAAGGAAGAUUAAUACAAGAUGGCAUCAUGAGUCCGCAUGUUCACAUGAUUAAAGGUAUUCCGGUAGACGAUGGGGAUGCGUUCCAUUAGAUAGUAGGCGGGGUAACGGCCCACCUAGUCUUCGAUGGAUAGGGGUUCUGAGAGGAAGGUCCCCCACAUUGGAACUGAGACACGGUCCAAACUCCUACGGGAGGCAGCAGUGAGGAAUAUUGGUCAAUGGGCGAGAGCCUGAACCAGCCAAGUAGCGUGAAGGAUGACUGCCCUAUGGGUUGUAAACUUCUUUUAUAAAGGAAUAAAGUCGGGUAUGGAUACCCGUUUGCAUGUACUUUAUGAAUAAGGAUCGGCUAACUCCGUGCCAGCAGCCGCGGUAAUACGGAGGAUCCGAGCGUUAUCCGGAUUUAUUGGGUUUAAAGGGAGCGUAGAUGGAUGUUUAAGUCAGUUGUGAAAGUUUGCGGCUCAACCGUAAAAUUGCAGUUGAUACUGGAUAUCUUGAGUGCAGUUGAGGCAGGCGGAAUUCGUGGUGUAGCGGUGAAAUGCUUAGAUAUCACGAAGAACUCCGAUUGCGAAGACAGCCUGAUAAGAUGCAACUGACAUUGAGGCUAGAAAGUGUGGGUAUCACACAGGAUUAGAUACCGUGGUAGUCCACACGGUAAACGAUGAAUACUCACUGUGUGCGAUAUACUGCAAGCGGCCAAGCGAAAGCGUUAAGUAUUCCACGUGGGGAGUACGCCGGCAACGGUGAAACUCAAAGGAAUUGACGGGGGCCCGCACAAGCGGAGGAACAUGUGGUUUAAUUCGAUGAUACGCGAGGAACCUUACCCGGGCUUAAAUUGCAGAUGAAUUACGGUGAAAGCUGUAAGCCGCAAGGCAUCUGUGAAGGUGCUGCAUGGUUGUCGUCAGCUCGUGCCGUGAGGUGUCGGCUUAAGUGCCAUAACGAGCGCAACCCUUGUUGUCAGUUACUAACAGGUUCCGCUGAGGACUCUGACAAGACUGCCAUCGUAAGAUGUGAGGAAGGUGGGGAUGACGUCAAAUCAGCACGGCCCUUACGUCCGGGGCUACACACGUGUUACAAUGGGGGGUACAGAGGGCCGCUACCACGCGAGUGGAUGCCAAUCCCCAAAACCUCUCUCAGUUCGGAUUGGAGUCUGCAACCCGACUCCACGAAGCUGGAUUCGCUAGUAAUCGCGCAUCAGCCACGGCGCGGUGAAUACGUUCCCGGGCCUUGUACACACCGCCCGUCAAGCCAUGGGAGCCGGGGGUACCUGAAGUGCGUAACCGCGAGGAGCGCCCUAGGGUAAAACUGGUGACUGGGGCUAAG
rnacentral:rRNA from 1 species